rnacentral:rRNA from 1 species
CAGUUCGGAUUGCAGGCUGCAACUCGCCUGUAUGAAGUCGGAAUUGCUAGUAAUCGCGGAUCAGCAUGCCGCGGUGAAUACGUUCCCGGGCCUUGUACACACCGCCCGUCACACCAUGAGAGCCGGGAACACCCGAAGUCCGUAGUCUAACCGCAAGGAGGACGCGGCCGAAGGUGGGUUUGGUAAUUGGGGUGAAGUCGUAACAAGGUAAC